rnacentral:rRNA from 1 species
ACGCUGGCGGCGUGCCUAAUACAUGCAAGUCGAGCGAAUGGAUUUGGAGCUUGCUCCAAUGAAGUUAGCGGCGGACGGGUGAGUAACACGUGGGCAAUCUGCCCGUAAGACUGGGAUAACUCCGGGAAACCGGGGCUAAUACCGGAUAAUCCCGACUCUCUCCUGAGAGUCGGUUGAAAGAUGGUUUCGGCUAUCACUUACGGAUGAGCCCGCGGCGCAUUAGCUAGUUGGUGAGGUAAUGGCUCACCAAGGCGACGAUGCGUAGCCGACCUGAGAGGGUGAUCGGCCACACUGGGACUGAGACACGGCCCAGACUCCUACGGGAGGCAGCAGUAGGGAAUCUUCCGCAAUGGACGAAAGUCUGACGGAGCAACGCCGCGUGAGUGAUGAAGGUUUUCGGAUCGUAAAACUCUGUUGUUAGGGAAGAACACGUACGAGAGUAACUGCUCGUACCUUGACGGUACCUAACCAGAAAGCCACGGCUAACUACGUGCCAGCAGCCGCGGUAAUACGUAGGUGGCAAGCGUUGUCCGGAAUUAUUGGGCGUAAAGCGCGCGCAGGUGGUUCCUUAAGUCUGAUGUGAAAGCCCCCGGCUCAACC